GCGGUUGUAGUUUAGUGGUAAAACUCCAGCUUCCCAAGCUGGCGUCGCGAGUUCGAUUCUCGUCAACCGCU
rfam:Lactobacillus nasuensis JCM 17158 NODE_2, whole genome shotgun sequence.